AAGAAAUCAACUUUUUCUUCAUUGUUUGUAUCAGCGAAAGUAGAAAAGAAAAGCUGGGUUUGAGAGCUUGAAAUAUUCGGCCCUUUUGAAAGCUUAAUUCAAGAUCAAGAAACCAAGAAAUCGGAUUUAGAUCGGGAGAAAUCAAAGGUAGUUGAGUAGCCGAUUUAUUAGUCGACGAUAUCCGAGAUUUUGGUGAUCGCUACGUGUUCGGGAUCGUCAUUAAGCUCAUCACACUAUCGGUGUCUUCUUUUGGUAUUUUGCUAAAUUGUUUUCAAGUAUAUGGCAUGUAUAGCAUAGUUAAAAAUGUUGAUUUUGAAACCAAUGUGUUUGUGUAAUUAAAAGCCAUGCGAAAAUGACUUAUCUCUUUUGUUUGAAUUUGAUUUUGAUACAUAUAGUUAAUGGACAAUUUGGGGUAUAUGCUUAUGUAUCAUGUGCAUGAUUAAUUAGAUUUAGAUAAUAUAUAUUUGGCUUAGAUAUAAGUUCAAUAAUUAUUUUCUUUUUAAAGAUGUGAUGACCUAUUGUGUGGUACAGGUUUGAUUUAGUGUAAGCAUAUUAAGCAUGUAAAUUAGGUACAAAAUUAGAGGUUAAUAGUGUAUAAUAUGGUGCAAGUUGUCAAGGUCAUAUGAGCACAUAACGGUAGUGAGAAAGUAGGUGCAUUUUUGUGUUAUAAUUUGAUGUAUAAUGCUAUCCAAUUAAAGCAAUUUAAAGCUGCCAAAUUUGAUGUCCAAUUUUGAGUGUAUUGAUGCUGCCCAUUUUAAUGUGUAAUGCUUCCAAUUUUGAGUGUAUUGAUGCUGUCCAUUUUAAUGUGUAAUGCUGUUCAAUUUUGAGUGUAUUGAUGCUGUCCAUUUUAAUGUAUAAUGCUGUCCAAUUUUGAGUGUAUUGAUGCUGUCCAUUUUAAUAUAUAAUGCUGUCCAAUUGUGAGUAUAUUUAAGCUGUCUAAUUUGAUGUAUAAUGCUGUCCAAUUUUGGGUAUAUUUAAGCUGUCUAAUUUGAUGUAUAA